rnacentral:rRNA from 1 species
UUUGGCCUGGAAUAACACGAGGAAACUUGUGCUAAUACUGGAUAAGUCUUUACGGAGAAAGCUUUAUGCACCAUGGAUGAGCCUGCACUUGAUUAGUUUGUUGGUGGGGUAAUGGCCUACCAAGACUGUGAUCAAUAGCUGAUUUGAGAGGAUGAUCAGCCACAUUGGGACUGAGACACGGCCCAGACUCCUACGGGAGGCAGCAGUGGGGAAUCUUGCACAAUGGGGGAAACCCUGAUGCAACGAUGCCGCGUGAGUGAAGAAGGCCCUUGGGUUGUAAAACUCUUUCGUCGGGGAAGAAAAUGACUGUACCCGAAUAA